UGCAGCCUACGGGGGGCAGCAGUGGGGAAUAUUGCGCAAUGGGGGAAACCCUGACGCAGCAACGCCGCGUGCAGGAAGAAGGUCUUCGGAUUGUAAACUGUUGUCGCAGGGGAAGAAGACAGUGACGGUACCCUGUGAGAAAGUCACGGCUAACUACGUGCCAGCAGCCGCGGUAAUACGUAGGGGACAAGCGUUGUCCGGAUUUACUGGGUGUAAAGGGCGCGUAGGCGGAUGUGCAAGUCAGUCGUGAGAUACCGGGGCUCAUCCACGGGGCUGCGAUUGAAACUGCACACCUU
rnacentral:rRNA from 1 species